rnacentral:rRNA from 1 species
GAUGAACGCUAGCGACAGGCUUAACACAUGCAAGUCGAGGGACCGGCGCACGGGUGAGUAACGCGUAUGCAACUUACCUAUCAGAGGGGGAUAGCCCGGCGAAAGUCGGAUCAAUACCCCAUAUGAUAGAUAGGCAUGCGUUCCAUUAGGCAGUUGGCGGGGUAACGGCCCACCAAACCGACGAUGGAUAGGGGUUCUGAAGGAAGGUCCCCCACAUUGGUACUGAGACACGGACCAAACUCCUACGGGAGGCAGCAGUGAGGAAUAUUAGUCAAUGGCCGAGAGGCUGAACCAGCCAAGUCGCGUGAAGGAAGAAGGAUUAUGGUUUGUAAACUUCUUUUAUAGGGGAAUAUGUACCCUAUGAAUAAGCAUCGGCUAACUCCGUGCCAGCAGCCGCGGUAAUACGGAGGAUGCGAGCGUUAUCCGGAUUUAUUGGGUUUAAAGGGUGCGUAGGUGGUGAUUUAAGUCAGCGGUGAAAGUUUGUGGCUCAACCAUAAAAUUGCCGUUGAAACUGGGUUACUUGAGUGUGUUUGAGGUAGGCGGAAUGCGUGGUGUAGCGGUGAAAUGCAUAGAUAUCACGCAGAACUCCGAUUGCGAAGGCAGCUUACUAAACCAUAACUGACACUGAAGCACGAAAGCGUGGGGAUCAAACAGGAUUAGAUACCCUGGUAGUCCACGCAGUAAACAUGAUUACUAGGAGUUUGCAAGCUCUCAGCGAAAGCGUUAAGUAAUCCACCUGGGGAGUACGCCGGCAACGGUGCAACUCAAAUGAAU